rnacentral:rRNA from 1 species
UACGGAGGGGGCUAGCGUUGUUCGGAAUUACUGGGCGUAAAGCGCACGUAGGCGGCUUUGUAAGUUAGAGGUGAAAGCCCGGGGCUCAACUCCGGAAUUGCCUUUAAGACUGCAUCGCUAGAAUUGUGGAGAGGUAAGUGGAAUUCCGAGUGUAGAGGUGAAAUUCGUAGAUAUUCGGAAGAACACCGGUGGCGAAGGCGGCCUGCUGGGCUAUGGCUGACACUGAGGCGCGACAGCGUGGGGAGCGAACAGG